CGCAAUGGGCGAAAGCCUGACGGAGCAAUACCGCGUGGGGGAGGAAGGCUCUUGGGUUGUAAACUCCUUUUCUCAGGGAAGAAAAAAAUGACGGUACCUGAGGAAUCAGCAUCGGCUAACUCCGUGCCAGCAGCCGCGGUAAUACGGAGGAUGCAAGCGUUAUCCGGAAUCAUUGGGCGUAAAGCGUCCGCAGGUGGCACUUCAAGUCUGCUGUCAAAGGUCGGGGCUUAACUCCGAACAGGCAGUGGAAACUGAAGCGCUNGAGUGCGGUAGGGGCAGAGGGAAUUCCUGGUGUAGCGGUGAAAUGCGUAGAGAUCAGGAAGAACACCGGUGGCGAAAGCGCUCUGCUAGGCCGCAACUGACACUCAGGGACGAAAGCUAGGGGAGCGAAUGGGAUUAGAUAC
rnacentral:rRNA from 1 species